UACGGGGGGGGUAAGCGUUGUUCGGAAUUACUGGGCGUAAAGGGCUCGUAGGCGGCCAACUAAGUCAUACGUGAAAUCCCUCAGCUUAACUGGGGAACUGCGUGUGAUACUGGAUGGCUUGGAUUUGGGAGAGGGAUGCGGAAUUCCAGGUGUAGCGGUGAAAUGCGUAGAUAUCUGGAGGAACACCGGUGGCGAAGGCGGCAUCCUGGACCGGCAUUGACGCUGAGGAGCGAAAGCCAGGGGAGCAAACGGGG
rnacentral:rRNA from 1 species